GGGAACACUGUUUCGGUCUAUUGGAGGAAGCGAUCAAAUCAAACAUAAAUCAGUGUGCUCAGACAGAAGAGACUGCAAGGUUACUGUUUGACAUGGAGUCCACAUCAAUCGAUAUUGAGCAUAGCAUCUUCACGAACAGCAAGACAGACAUCGGUUACAAGACUUCCAUGCUGAAAAAGGUUGGCGAGGUGAAGUCAAGCACCAGUAGUGGCAGCGUUUUUGUUUGGAAGAG